rnacentral:rRNA from 1 species
GAUGAACGCUGGCGGCGUGCUUAACACAUGCAAGUCGAACGGAGCACUUUAUUUGAUUUCCUUCGGGGCUGAUUAUUUUGUGACGGAGUGGCGGACGGGUGAGUAACGCGUGGGUAACCUGCCUUGUACAGGGGGAUAACAGUUGGAAACGGCUGCUAAUACCGCAUAAGCGCACAGCAUCGCAUGAUGCAGUGUGAAAAACUCCGGUGGUAUAAGAUGGAGCCGCGUUGGAUUAGCUAGUUGGUGAGGUAACGGCCCACCAAGGCGACGAUCCAUAGCCGACCGGAGAGGGUGACCGGCCACAUUGGGACUGAGACACGGCCCAAACUCCUACGGGAGGCAGCAGUGGGGAAUAUUGCACAAUGGGCGAAAGCCUGAUGCAGCGACGCCGCGUGAGCGAAGAAGUAUUUCGGUAUGCAAAGCGCUAUCAGCAGGGAAGAUAAUGACGGUACCUGACUAAGAAGCACCGGCUAAAUACGUG